CCUACGGGAGGCAGCAGUGAGGAAUAUUGGUCAAUGGCCGCAAGGCUGAACCAGCCAAGCCGCGUGAAGGAUGAAUGCCCAGCGGGUUGCAAACUUCUUUUACCGGGGGACAAAGUGCCGCACUCGUCCGUUCCUGAGGGUACCCGAAGAAAAAGCAUCGGCUAACUCCGUGCCAGCAGCCGCGGUAAUACGGAGGAUCCGAGCGUUAUCCGGAUUUAUUGGGUUUAAAGGGAGCGUAGAUGGGUUGUUAAGUCAGUUGUGAAAGUUUGCGGCUCAACCGUAAAAUUGCAAUUGAUACUGGCAGCCUUGAGUACAGUUGAGGUAGGCGGAAUUCGUGGUGUAGCGGUGAAAUGCUUAGAUAUCACGAAGAACUCCGAUUGCGAAGGCAGCCUACUAAACUGCCACUGACAUUGAUGCUCGAAAGUGUGGGUAUCAAACAGGAUUAGAUACCCCGGUAGUC
rnacentral:rRNA from 1 species